rnacentral:rRNA from 1 species
UACGUAGGGCGCAAGCGUUGUCCGGAAUUAUUGGGCGUAAAGAGCUCGUAGGUGGCGUGUCGCGUCUGCCGUGAAAGCCCAUGGCUUAACUGUGGGUCUGCGGUGGAUACGGGCAGGCUGGAGGCUGGUAGGGGCAAGCGGAAUUCCGGGUGUAGUGGUGGAAUGCGUAGAGAUCCGGAGGAACACCAGCGGCGAAGGCGGCGUCCUGGACUGGUACUGACGCUCAGGAGCGAAAGCGUGGGGAGCGAACAGG